rnacentral:rRNA from 1 species
GACGAACGCUGGCGGCGUGCUUAACACAUGCAAGUCGAGCGGUAAGGCCCUUUCGGGGGUACACGAGCGGCGAACGGGUGAGUAACACGUGAGCAAUCUGCCCUUCUCUUUGGAAUAACCAUUGGAAACGAUGGCUAAUGCCGAAUAUGACCCCCCUUCGCAUGUUGGGGGGUGGAAAGCUCUGGCGGAGAAGGAUGAGCUCGCGGCCUAUCAGCUUGUUGGUGAGGUAAUGGCUCACCAAGGCAUUGACGGGUAGCCGGCCUGAGAGGGUGACCGGCCACACUGGGACUGAGACACGGCCCAG